GCGGCGGCGGCGACGGCGGCGGGAGAGGAAAACGGGGGGUCCCGGGCACGGCUCCGGGCGGUGCAAACACACAUCACACCCCCCCUGCCACCACCAGCCUCCGCUUCUGGUUUUUUGUGGGUUUUUUAUUUUUUUUUUCUCCCAAACCUCUCCGAAAACGAGCGAAGAGAUCUUGGAAAAAACCGCGCCUUUUAUUUUUAUAUAUAUUUAUAUAUAUAUAUGUAUUUUUAAUUAUAAUUUAUAUUUGUUUAUUUUUUAUUGAUUUAUUUUGGGGCGGGGGGUCACUUUCGCGUUUCUAAAACACCCUCCCCCCCCUAAAAAAUACCCCAAACCAACCAAACAACCCAGCGAGCAAAGCCAGGAGCCAGCAGCAUUGUUCUGGAUUUUUACUUCUUUCUCUUUAAUUAUUUUUUCCCUCAUUCAGCUUUUUUUUUUUAAUAAUUUUUUGCUAACAGCCGUACUCGGCUCAGGGCCUCCAAUGGGAUUUACUCGUGGGGAAAGAAGCUUUUUCCUUAAAGACGGUUCCCCAUGAACUCCCCAUAUUCACUUUUGGUUUUAUUUUUAAUUUUUUUUUCUUUUUUAUUUCUUUACCAGAAUUCUCAAGACCAAAAAAAAAAAAAAAACAAAAAAAAAAAACCAACCCAUUUUGAUUAUUUUUUUCUUCUUUUAUUUUUUUUUUCCAUCCGUGUUCUCUUUUCCUUUCCAGGACACUCAAGUGGUGGGUUAAUUCUGUGUAGCUGUUUUGUUAUUGUUGCAAAAUAACCUGUCACGGUGCCCUCGGUCCACCGGUGCAGUUGCUCGGAGCUACUGAUUCCAGCCUUGGCGAGCCCACGGAGCGGCCGCCUUGGACGCAAAGUGCCCGGGUGCUGCCUUUAUUUUCAUUUCUCAGCUGAGUUCUUGAACCGAAACAUUUUAAAGCAAGGAGGUUGGGCGGCGGGGAGGGGGGGGUAAUAAAUUAGGAAGAAAGCCCUUCUGCUAAUACGACUCGUCAUUAAAAAUAGCCCGGUGGCAAGACAGGGAUGGUACUCCCGAGACACUCGAGGUGGUACAGAUAUGCUGGAGAGACGGCUUCCCUGUAGUUAAAAUGCGGUGUGGGAUUCCCAGGGAGCGAGCGCGGCUGGAGCUGUGUGACUUGUGCGACUCCGAUCCCGGCCCGGGGCAGGGAGGGGGCUCCCGGCUCUGCAAGUGACCCAAGGAGGGAUGGACCCGAGUGGCAGCUCUGUUCCGGGAUUUUGAUUUGGUUUUUUUUUGUUCUUUUUCCCCAGCAAUGAAACCCAAAGGAAGGGGGUUGUUGGGAGCGACAGAUCUGUUCUGUUUGUCAUUUCUCUGCAGUGCGUGACGCUUUCGCUUUAGCCGGAGCCCAGCGAGCCCAGCGCCCGCGGGACGCUCGGGAGCAGCAGCGGCAGGGCUGCCGCUUGGGGGAUUUUUGGUGGAGACCCGAGGUCGAGCACAGCUUCCGUUCAAGUAGCACUCUUAUGGGGGAGAUUUCUCACUCUGCCCGACCACGGCCAAGCCGAGCUUGCAUCAGUUUCCAUCCUAACCCGCCUCGUUGCGGGGACAUAGGGAGCAGCCAGCAGCAUCCCUUUCGGACUGGGAGCUGAGCGGCCUGGGCGCCUUUGCUGAGUUUUUGGCCUUUCUGCUCUGGUGUCAUACCUUCUACUCCCUCACUGUCACUCACGGCCUGGCUGCAGCUACCCACGGGCUCUUGCCACCCGCCUCUGCUCCCCACUGCUUCCUGCUGCCCCAAAACCAACAGCGGUCCCUGUGCUGCCUCGCUGGGGACUUGAGGGAGCUGGGGAUGGAGUCAUUUUCCUGGGAGCCCUCUUCCACCAUUAGCCAGAGGAAUCUUUGCUGAGUGCGGCCUUGACAUCCUCUUCCCUUGCCUGUCCCAGCUCUGGGGACCUGCACGGCUGCCGCUGGCGGUGGUGGUGGCUGCCAGGGUGGCAGUGUCCCAGUGGGACAGCUUCCCCUGCCUCCACAAGCGACAGCAAGCAUUUUCUCUUUGGGGGACAAUGGUGGCCCCGUGGUGGGGAGGGUGGCUGGUGGGAGUGUGCAAAGCCACGGCAGCCCCAUGUCGGCCGUGGGAUGUUUCUCAGCGGCUCCGGGCUCAGCGUGGCUCCUGCACACCCACGAGGUGCCUGUGUGGCACGUGGAGGAGCAGCAGCUCGGCCCUGCCUGUGGGAGGCUGUGGCAGCCCCGCUGGGGGGGUCAGCCCCAUGCACCCCUCUCUCAAAAAGACCCUCUACGCUUCAGAGAGCUCCUCACCCAGGCAAGGGUUGGAACCCCCCAGUGCCACCCCUCAAAGUGGUGGCAGUGCUGGCACAGGGGUGAUGCUGCUGGGAAAUGGUCCCCCUUGGAGCUGGCAGGGGUAUUUCUGGUGGUGCUGGAGCAGCUCCAAGGAGCAGGAGCAGAGGCAGGAGCAGUGCUGGGCAUUGCCACAGGUGCCUCACACCCUCCCAUGGACUGUCCCUCUCCAGCUUCUUCAUGUCCUCCCCUGGCAAAGCUCCUGGGAUGAAAAACAACCCCUCUGCCUGUGUGCUGGCGCGCAGGGCACAGAGCAGUGUGAAAUUAUUCAGCCAUCCCUGGGAGCUGCCCUUGGGUGCUGAAGGGCCUCGGAGCUGGAGGUGCUACUUGGCAGUGAGGGGAGUCCCCGGGCUCGGGUCGUUUCCCUCCAGGGGACACAGAUCAGGUUUUUAUGGUAUAUCGAGGCCAGUGCGUAUUUUUCCCAGGUGAACCGCACCCUUGGAAAGAAGUGCCUUGUCUUCUACAAAACACUGCUUAAAUAAACAGUACCCCACUAUAAUUUUUUCUUUUGAAAUUAACUCCUUCAGGCCAUAAGGCUUCCCCAUCUUCACACAAAAAUAACUGCCAGGACUUUUAAAGGGAAAAAAAAAAAUGCGUCUAAGAGAGAAAAGUUUAGCCUGACAGAGGAGAGCCUGUGAACCUCUCUCUUUCCCCGUGGCCCUCGAGGAUGGGUUUCAGGGACAGCCUGCCCAUUUUGAAGCUGGGUGCCACAGCAUGAGGAUGGGUUUAAGGGACAGCCUGCUCAUUUUGGAGCUGGGUGCCACUGCAUGAGCGUUACUUAAAAGGAGUUUUGUGCAUAUUAAUGCGAAUGCAGCGAGGCCAGGCUGCGCAGGGACAGCCGAGUCCCUGCCUGAAUUCAGCUAUCUUGUUUUCUAAUCUAACCUACUUUUUUUCUUUUGCCUUUUUUUUUUUUUUUUUUUUUUUGUCAGAGGCCAGUGCUUUGCAGGAACCUGUUCUCAGUGCAAUCUCAGAGCUUUUUGUGGGUGUCUGAUUUCUGUAACACGUUUUGGUUUCCAGUAUGAAUGUAAUGUACAGAGAACAUCAUGACACUGCUCUAGGUGUAUGUGAUCUUAUCUACCUGACAUUUAAGGUUUUUUUAAACCGUCCAAUUCAUCUGAUUUGCAUAAAAAUCACAUGAUUUUACUUUUUUUCCUCCUUUUUUUUUCAUGCAUCAUCAUAACAAACUACUAAGGUUUACCAGGCUGUUUUAUGUCUGUCAGCAUGAAUACGGGGCCCGUUUCUCUCGUCUUCAUUCCUCCCCGAUGGAUGUUGGGGAUGUAAAAGGUGGCAGUUGGAGGGGACUUGUGAUUGCAGCCUGCCAUUGAAAUCCUUAAUAAGCAAUUAUGUACAGUUUAACUUCCCAGAAAACAAAGCAGCUAAGCAUGCAUGCCAUGCAGUUGUUGUUAAUUUAAAUAGUUGAGACUUCUUUUUAUUGAUAAGGAAACUCCUCUGGAACAGCCCCCCGGAUCCCAGCAGGCUCCCCCUGCUGCAGCCGUCCUCAUUACAAAACAAGGCCGCAAUUAAAAUAAACUCCAAGAGCUAAAUAAACUGCUGCCUCUCGCUGGUCAUGUGUUAGCUUUAGCCUUUAACGCAGAACAAAAUGUUUUCCUGGGUAUGGGAAGAGGCAUGGGCUCCGACCAGGAGGAGAAGAGGGAGCAGCAGCUGGGCCUAUGGGAAUGGCAGGCAGUGGGGUGCUGCAAUGCUCAUCGGGACUCCUUUCUCUUGCUUUCUUUUUAUUUUUUUCUUGUUGUAAAUUUGAGUGUUUGUGUUCUAACUCGGUCUUUACUGCAAGGGAAAGGGCUGGAAGUGGAAAAACUUGAAUGUUGUGGUAAAACCUGGCUGUCCCAGCACGCCCUGGGCACACCUGAGUGUACCUCUCCCUCGCCCGGCCUGGCUCCCACCGAGCCCACCGGCCACAAGCCCCCGGCCCAGCCUGUGUCACUCCCUUUGCAGAGGCUUUAGGUGGCUGCAGAUACCCCUUGGCAAAUGCCAGCAUCUGGAUGGGUACUGGGAAGGGAAGCACAGGGUGCCUUGGAGGACAGGACCAGUGGGAUGAGGUUUGGAUGAAGGGAGGGACAGCCAGGGCCUGUGGAGGGGAGUGUGGCAGGCCGGCCCUCAGUGCCUCCAUGCCAUGCCAUGGCUCCCCUCACGGCCUGAGAACACGUUUUAACCCCCGUGCCAUGUCCAGGCGUCCUGUUUGGGAUGCUGAAUCACCCUCAGAUGAAUACUCUGCAAGAAGAACUGCUCUGAUGAUGGAGGGGUGUACAUCCACGCUGUGCGCACGUCAACCCCCAGGAUAAUAUUCUGGCAAAAUUGCCCAAAUAACUGGCAUAUCUGCUUGGUGCCAGGAGACAGUGUAGACUUGCCUGUCAAAAAUUACUUUCUUGCCACACAGGAGCAAGAUAUCUGCCUGUCUCCUGCCUGAUUUCCCAAACUGGCUGAGCAUAAACAGCAGUUCUCGGAAGGUGGGUAAGGACUGUCCUCAUUCCACUGAGCACUCACAGCCCCACAUCAGUUCUGCCCCAUCUCUCCCACCCUGGACCCAGUCGAUUUUUAACCAGUUAUGGACCAAAGCCUGUCCGUGCCUCAGCGGGGCUGUGCCGAGGUAAGGAGCCUCCUGGCAGGGGAUGUGGUGGGGCAAGCCCAAUUCCUUGCUUGUCCCCAAAUCUUGUCAUCCUGGCACCCACCAAACUGAAGUGUGUGACCAGUGGAAGCUGAAAAUCCCUGUCCCAUGGCUGAGCAGCACUACUGACCUCUUUUCAGCAGAUCUGUCAGAGUUCAGACAUUACAAUGAAAAAAACCUCGCUAACCCCUACAGAUACUUCUCUGAUUAGGAGUUGUGCUGAGGUAGUUCAAACCAAAUGUGUAAGUUGCUUUGUUGGGGAAAAAAGUAAUAAAAAGAAUAAAAGGCAGUUCUUGCUUUGAAUGGUUUAUAAUAUUAUUUAUUACUCCUGCGUCUCAGACAAUCUUGCAGAUACCUGAUAUUAAAAAUCAGCAGAGAGACUAAGAAGAAGGACAAUGCCUCAAACUUUUAGAGGCACAAGCACAUUGUAAUUAAGAGAGGGAUUUGCAUUGACCCUGAUCGUUUUGAAACAGGUCUCUAAAGUUCAGGCUAAAUUAGCCUGGUUUAUUUCUGUUUUUCCUUUAAUAACUCCCCGGACUCUCAGCCAGUAGAGUACUGUGUGAAUUUCAAUUUCUCUCUUCAAAUAAAACUUCGACGUAAUUUUUAUAUUCUUUGAAAUGAUCUGUGCAAUUUUGUUCACGGAAACUCUUUGAUUUAGACUUAAAGGAUUUAGUGACUGAAUAGGAGGGUAUCUGGAAGUAAUGGUGAAAAUGGUGAUUAUUUGUUUUACUGCCUUCUGGAAUUCUUUUAUUUCUCCGUACUAUCUCUAAAAGCAUGUCUGGCAGUAACAAGCUGUCUCUAAAAAGAAUUCAAUUAAAUGUAUUGCCAACAGAAUAUUUUAUAAUUUUUUAUACCAGUAGUUAGAGUGUUAAAUAAUAUAUUAGUAGAUUUAUAGACUACAUUUAGGUAUGACUAUGAAUAGCUACAGUAAAAACUCAGAAUAUUCAUGUAAAAAGGGAGGGGAGGAAGUUUGGUUUCUGGGGUUUAAGAUUUUUUUCUCCUCGUCCUUAUUUGAGUUUCAGUUUUGGGACUUAAAAAGAAUUAGAUUUUCACAUCUUUUUUUCUGUUAUUCUCGAAUGACAAGAAAAAGUCAGCUAUUUUUUGAGACAAAAAUUCCCAUGAGAUUUCUCCUUGUUUUAAAUAAUUAAAUAUUAAAGGAGUAAGAAAGAAGCAGGCAGAUCCUACGAUAUGGACAUGAAUCAAAUGGGAUAUUUAUUUGCAUAGGUACAUGGCAAACAGGAAAAAAUCGAUCCCGAAGCUGUAUGAAAUUGCCAGUUACUCCAUUACAGUGUUACAAAUAGAUUAUUGCCCAUAAGAAUGUAACUCUUAAUGUACUAAAAAUAAUUUAAUGCUAGGAUUAUAUUUAUUUAAUUUGGUAAAUGACAAAUAUAUUUUUGAUUCCUAUAAAGCAGAAAUAAACCAUCUCCCAGGAACUGGGAACUAAACCAACUGCUCCCCCCACCCCUCCUAAUUUUUUAUUGACUUUUUUCCUUUUUUUUUGGUUUUUCUUCUUGUUUUUUUUUUUUUUCUUUGCAAAGUCUCAUCGGCUCUUCUGAAUUUUGCAGUUCAUUUCUCAUUCCUUCUCCCUCAAUAAAAAUACUUUUCAUCAGAAAA